UACGAGGGGAGCUAGUGUUGUUCGGAUUUACUGGGCGUAAAGGGAGUGUAGGCGGGAGCCUAAGUCAGAGGUGAAAAUUUGGGGCUUAACCCCAAACCUGCCUCUGAUACUGGGCUUCUUGAGUAUGGAAGAGGGCGAUGGAAUUCCUGGUGUAGCGGUGGAAUGCGUAGAUAUCAGGAGGAACACCGAUAGCGAAGGCAGUCGCCUGGUACAAUACUGACGCUGAAACUCGAAAGCAUGGGGAGCAAACAGG
rnacentral:rRNA from 1 species